GUUUAUGGCCAUACCACCCUGAACACACCCGAUCUCGUCUGAUCAGAAGCUAAGCAGGGCCAGGCCUGGUUAGUAUCUGGAUGGAGGAUAUCAAGCAAUAACAAAUGCUAGAGGGGCUGUGGAAG
ensembl:rRNA 5S_rRNA 5S ribosomal RNA